CUUGAUCUUCUUUUCUCUUGGGGACUGGGAGCAUACUGCAAUCUGAGGGUCUGGAGUAUUUUGGCCCAGUCCAAU
rfam:Myotis lucifugus cont2.56522, whole genome shotgun sequence.